CGAUUCGACAAUUGUUCCAUUUAGGUCGCUUGAAGUUUUGAAAUUUGAGAAGAUGAACAAUUGGGAGAAAUGGUUUUGUCUUGAAGGGUUUCCUUUGCUUAAAAAGAUUUCUAUAAGAAAAUGUCCCAAAUUGAAAAAGGCAGUGCUGCCUAAACACCUUACUUCUUUACAAAAGCUGGAGAUUAGUUAUUGCAACAAGUUGGAGGAAUUGUUAUGCCUUGGAGAGUUUCCUUUGCUUAAAGAGAUUUAUAUAUUCGAUUGUCCCAAAUUGAAAAGGGCUCUGCCACAACACCUUCCUUCUUUACAAAAACUGCAUGUAUUUGAUUGCAACGAGUUGGAGAAAUGGUUUUGUCUUGAAGGGAUUCCUUUGCUUAAAGAGAUUUCUAUAAGAAAUUGCCCCAAAUUAAAAAGGGCCUUGCUACCUCAACACCUUCCUUCUUUACAAAAACUGAAGAUUUGUGAUUGCAACAAGUUGGAGGAAUUGUUAUGCCUUGGAGAGUUUCCUUUGCUUAAAGAGAUUUCUAUAUCCGAUUGUCCCGAAUUGAAAAGGGCUCUGCCUCAACACCUUCCUUCUUUACAAAAUCUAGAGAUUUGGGAUUGCAACAAGUUGGAGGAAUUGUUAUGCCUUGGAGAGUUUCCUUUGCUUAAAGAGAUUUCUAUAAGAAAUUGUCCCGAAUUGAAAAGGGCUCUGCCUCAACACCUUCCUUCUUUACAAAAUCUAGAGAUUUGGGAUUGCAACAAGUUGGAGGAAUUGUUAUGCCUUGGAGAGUUUCCUUUGCUUAAAGAGAUUUCUAUAAGAAAUUGUCCCGAAUUGAAAAGGGCUCUGCCUCAACACCUUCCUUCUUUACAAAAACUGCAGAUUUGGGAUUGCAACAAGAUGGAGGCAUCAAUUCCCAAGAGUGAUAAUAUGAUAGAGUUAGAUAUACAGAGAUGUGAUAGAAUUUUGGUAAAUGAAUUGCCGACCAGCUUGAAAAGGUUACUCCUUUGUGAUAAUCAAUACAC
rnacentral:lncRNA from 1 species